AGUGAACGCUGGCGGUAGGCCUAACACAUGCAAGUCGAACGGCAGCACAGUAAGAGCUUGCCCUUACGGGUGGCGAGUGGCGGACGGGUGAGGAAUACAUCGGAAUCUACUUUUUCGUGGGGGAUAACGUAGGGAAACUUACGCUAAUACCGCAUACGACCUACGGGUGAAAGCAGGGGAUCUUCGGACCUUGCGCGAUUGAAUGAGCCGAUGUCGGAUUAGCUAGUUGGCGGGGAAAAGGCCCACCAAGGCGACGAUCCGUAGCUGGUCUGAGAGGAUGGUCGGCCACACUGGAACUGAGACGCGGUCCAAGCUCCUACGGGAGGCAGCAGUUGGGAAUAUUGGGCAAUGGGCGCAAGCCUGAUCCAGCCAUACCGCGUGGGUGAAGAAGGACUUCGGGUUGUAAAGCCCUUUUGUUGGGAAAGAAAAGCAGCAGGUUAAUACCCCGCUGUUCUGACGGUACCCAAAGAAUAAGCACCGGCUAACUUCGUG
rnacentral:rRNA from 1 species